rnacentral:rRNA from 1 species
UAAGGAAUAUUGGUCAAUGGAGGCAACUCUGAACCAGCCAUGCCGCGUGCAGGAAGACGGCCCUCUGGGUUGUAAACUGCUUUUAUUCGGGAAUAAACCUAUCUACGUGUAGAUAGCUGAAUGUACCGAAGGAAUAAGGAUCGGCUAACUCCGUGCCAGCAGCCGCGGUAAUACGGAGGAUCCAAGCGUUAUCCGGAUUUAUUGGGUUUAAAGGGUGCGUAGGCGGCCUAUUAAGUCAGGGGUGAAAGACGGUAGCUCAACUAUCGCAGUGCCCUUGAUACUGAUAGGCUUGAAUGAACUAGGGGUAGGCGGAAUGUGACGAGUAGCGGUGAAAUGCAUAGAUAUGUCACAGAACACCGAUUGCGAAGGCAGCUUACUACUAAUGGAUUGACGCUGAUGGACGAAAGCGUGGGGAGCGAACA